CUGCUCGCUUCAGCAGCACAUAUACUAGAAUAGGAAAGAUACAGAGAAGAUCGGCAUGGCCCUGUACAAGGAUGACAUGCAGAUUUGUGAGGUGUUCCAUAUUUUU